rnacentral:lncRNA from 1 species
GGAUAAGACAACCCAACCAUCGGAGAACCGACCGCUGCCGCACCAGAGCACUUUCCGGCCGCAAACGAGGUAAAAUUUCUCCCAUUGGCUCGGAUUUCGAUGCUGAACCCCCUGUGGCUAAAUCGGAGCCAAACCAUCGGUCAAUUUGCUGGAAAAUGCUGCCGAAGCCCAGCGGCGCCGCCACAGGUUUUUUCGAUUUUUGCCUCCGAUGAGGUCCUUCCCAAUUCCCAUUCGAUGUAAUUUUUACACCACUGUGGCCACCGUCCUUUCCUCUACAGGUUGAUCGGAGCAAAACGCCAAAUCGCAACUCGUGCCGAAGGAGCCACCGCACCCGAGACCUCCGCCGCCGGUAAGUCUCGAUUUUCUGUAUUUUUUUGGCCCACCGAGGGCCUUACGUGUGUUUUCUUGCAG